GGGUUUGUGGUGUACUUGGUUAUCACGUUCACCUCACAUCUCGUGAACGCGAAAGAUCCCGAGUUCGAACCUGCCGCUGCCUCG